rnacentral:tRNA from 1 species
GCCCGGGUGGCGGAAUUGGUAGACGCGCUGGACUCAAAAUCCAGUGAUAGCAAUAUCGUGUGGGUUCGAUUCCCACCUCGGGUAC